UGCAAGUCGAACGAGGUGCUUUUGUAGCAAUACGAGAGUAUCCUAGUGGCGAACGGGUGAGUAACGCGUUGGUGACCUACCCCAAAGUGUGGAAUAACAGUCCGAAAGGAUUGCUAAUACCGCAUGUGGUUAUCAGGCUUAGAAACUGAUAACUAAAGGAGCAAUUCGCUUUGGGAGGGACCUGCGUCCCAUCAGCUAGUUGGUGAGGUAACGGCUCACCAAGGCUACGACGGGUAGGGGGCCUGAGAGGGUGACCCCCCACAAUGGAACUGAAACACGGUCCAUACACCUACGGGUGGCUGCAGUCGAGGAUCUUCGGCAAUGGGCGCAAGCCUGACCGAGCGACGCCGCGUGUGCGAUGAAGGCCUUCGGGUUGUAAAGCACUGUCGAGGGGGAGGAAGGCGCAAGCUUGACCUAUCCCUGGAGGAAGCACGGGCUAAGUUCGUGCCAGCAGCCGCGGUAAGACGAACCGUGCGAACGUUGUUCGGAAUCACUGGGCUUAAAGGGCGCGUAGGCGGGCCGACAAGUCCGGGGUGAAAGCCCCCAGCUCAACUGGGGAAGUGCCUUGGAAACUGUCGGUCUCGAGGGAGGUAGGGGUCUGUGGAACUUCGGGUGGAGCGGUGAAAUGCGUUGAUAUCCGAAGGAACGCCGGUGGCGAAAGCGACGGACUGGAUCUCUUCUGACGCUGAGGCGCGAAAGCCAGGGGAGCAAACGGGAUUAGAUACCCCGGUAGUCCUGGCCCUAAACGAUGAGAACUAGGUAGCGGACUUACAUGGGUUCGCUGCCGAAGCAAAAGUGUUAAGUUCUCCGCCUGGGGAGUAUGGUCGCAAGGCUGAAACUAAAGGAAUUGACGGGGGCUCACACAAGCGGUGGAGCAUGUGGCUUAAUUCGAGGCUACGCGAAGAACCUUAUCCUGGGCUUGACAUAUGCGAA
rnacentral:rRNA from 1 species